CUUAUGCCGGCGACCGGCGGACGGGUGCGUAACGCGUAUGUAACCUACCUUUGACAGGGGGAUAACAUCGAGAAAUUGGUACUAAUACCCCAUAACAUCACCGGAGGCAUCUUCGGUGGUUGAAAACUCAGGUGGGUCAGAGAUGGACAUGCGUUGUAUUAGCUAGUUGGUGAGGUAACGGCUCACCAAGGCGACGAUACAUAGGGGGACUGAGACGGUCAACCCCCCACAUUGGUACUGAGACACGGACCAAACUCCUACGGGAGGCAGCAG
rnacentral:rRNA from 1 species